GAAACCAAAUGUAGACAGUGGUCUAUGUUUAUUGAAUAUGGAUGAUGAUGAUGAUGAUAUAUGUAAGUUGAUGGACAACCAGAAAUGUAAAUGGGCCUAAAGCAUAGCCCAUAAUAACUGAAAUAAAUUCCAGAAGCAUGAUCAAAUGUGAUGGGCCCAGCCCAAUAGACUCUAAAAUUUUAGAAAUUAAUUCAGGCUCUUCCCCAAUUUAUUUCUUCUCACCCAAGAACAUUCCUUUCUCCAAAAUUCCUACAAAUUGAUUUGAUUCUUUUACAAGCUUUGAGUUAGCCAGACAAUUUUGUAUCCCUUCAGUCUCUUGAUACAGGAAUAUGGCGUUGACAAAUUUUAUACUGACGGUGGCAGGAGUGACCGCCGUGGUUUUGCUGUUGAGGAGCGAUGUCAAACAGUCGGCGACCAUCUUCCGCCGUAACGUUCGUCAUAUCCGCAACUGGCUUGAAGAGGAGUCCGCUUCCGCCGCUAAGGAAAUGGAGAAUGCAAAACCAAAGGAGAUACCUGGGAAGGAUAUCCCCAAGGAGGACAAGCACUAGAUUCAUUUCAUGCGCAGGCAACCGCUCAUGGCUGAAGUAGUUGAAUAUGAAAUCUUGAUAAAUCUCUGUGCGAUCAUAUUCCAGAAUAAGAUUUUCUGUUCUUCUAGCACACUUUUUGGUUCUUACGCCCUGCUGCUUAAUAUGUACCAAAAGUAGGACUAAUGAUUAUGUGCUUCUUGUAACCUUUUCCGGGGCUUUUUGUAGAGAGUAACAUAUAUAUAUACAAAUAUUCUUUUACCCUGUGCUUUGCUUACCCUUGGCAUUUGGUUGAGCGUUUCUUGCUUAUAA